rnacentral:rRNA from 1 species
UACGUAGGGCGCAAGCGUUGUCCGGAAUUAUUGGGCGUAAAGAGCUCGUAGGCGGUUUGUCGCGUCUGCUGUGAAAUCCCGAGGCUCAACCUCGGGCUUGCAGUGGGUACGGGCAGACUAGAGUGCGGUAGGGGGAGACUGGAAUUCCUGGUGUAGCGGUGGAAUGCGCAGAUAUCAGGAGGAACACCGAUGGCGAAGGCAGGUCUCUGGGCCGCAACUGACGCUGAGGAGCGGAAAAGCAUGGGGGAGCGAACAGG